rnacentral:lncRNA from 1 species
UAUUCUCAGCUUCAUAAUUUUCCAGAUGAACAGCUAGCUAGCUAGUCAUAUAUCUUUCUUGGUUUUUUCUGUGUGUAUGUUGGUUGAUUAUUUGAUUAUUAUUUUUCAAAUAUAAUAUGAUUGAGGCAGUGAUGAUAAUUAUAUAAUGAUGCAUUCGGAUUCUGGGCUAACCGGGUCGGGCAGGAGACUAUCCGACCCGUAUCUUGGCUUGGCAAUUUUUGCAGCCAUGACGUGGUUGAUUCUCCUUCGUCUGACCUCUUUGCAGAUUUAUCUGAGCCUCCAUUACAUAUUUUACUAUAGUUGAUUUUAAUGUUUACUUUAUGUGAAAAAAAUAAGAUGAAUUUAAUUGCUGUUCGAAGCAAAUAACAUGUAACUACACUCAAAAAAAAAAAAAAAAAAAACUUUUAUUGGGGACCAAAUAAAACAAUAAAAGCAUAGAUCGUCAAUAUGUAUUUUAGUGUUUUAAACUUUAAAUACGUCUAAAUUCUGAAUCCGCCUCACAUCUGAUCCUAAUUAGGAAAACAUAUAACCAUAGUGAAAUGUUAGCUUGAAAGUACCAUUCACCUUAAGGGGUUGUGUUUGGUUGGAAAAUUAUUAUUUCGGGAUAGUUAAUUUUGGGAUUAUUUGAAAUAAUUUAUUCUAUCAUAUAUAUUGGAUAAGUUAUUCUAGCACUAUAAAAAAAAUGGUGAGAUAUAGUUAUCUCACUAUGAAUUAAUUNNNNN